AGGAAAGUAAUUAUAACAAUACUAAAAAUGGAACUAGACAAUGCUUGACCUACUAACCUUCUAGCUUAAUUCUCGACCUCUAUAUCUCUCUAUCUAAGGUCAUAUCAACAGUAAGCUGUAGGUGAGUCAUGUCCUGUCUAUUCACCUUUCCAAGACUUUUUUGGUCUACCUCUGCCUCUCAUUACACCCAUAAUAGCCAACCUCUCUCUCAUCUAUACUGAGGCAUUUGUGCAUCUUCUCCUCACAUGCCUGAACUAUCUCAGUCUCGUGUCCUUCAUUCUGUUCACCAUGGAGUUCACUACCACCUUNNNN
rnacentral:lncRNA from 1 species